AUUGAACGCUGGCGGCAGGCCUAACACAUGCAAGUCGAGCGGAGCGGCGGACGGGUGAGUAAUGCCUAGGAAUCUGCCUGGUAGUGGGGAUAACGUACGGAAAAGGGCGCUAAUACCGCAUCCCAUCAGAUGAGACUAGGUUGGAUUAGCUAGGUGGUGGGGUAAAGGCCUACCAAGGCGACGAUCCGUAACUGGUCUGAGAGGAAGAUCAGUCACACUGGAACGUGGACACGGUCCAUAAUCCUACGGGAGGCAGCAGUGGGGAAUAUUGGACAAUGGGCGAAAGCCUGAGCCAGCCAUGCCGCGUGUGUGAAGAAGGUCUUCGGAUUGUAAAGCACGUUAAGUUGGGAGGCGUUACCAACAGAAUAAGCACCGGCUAACUUCGUGCCAGCAGCCGCGGUAAUAC
rnacentral:rRNA from 1 species